UACGGGGGGUGCAAGCGUUGUCCGGAAUCAUUGGGCGUAAAGAGUUCGUAGGCGGUAUGUAAAGUCCGGUGUUAAAGGCGCAGGCUUAACUUGUGUAUGGCACUGGAUACUUGCAGACUAGAAUGCGGUAGAGGUAAAGGGAAUUUCUGGUGUAGCGGUGAAAUGCUUAGAUAUCAGGAAGAACAUCGGUGGCGUAAGCGCUUUACUGGGCCGUAAUUGACGCUGAGGAACGAAAGCCGGGGUAGCAAAU
rnacentral:rRNA from 1 species